rnacentral:misc_RNA from 1 species
AAAUGAAGUCCUAUUCUGCCUCCAACACAUCAAUGAUGCCCUGACUCUCCCUGUCAGUUGGAGCUCUAUGUGGGCAGGAGAAACAAAGAAGACAAAUUAUGAGAAGGUGAAGCAGGUUAAUGUUGAUAUUACCGUGACUGUCAAUACAACUCUUCCACACACACAACUCCUCCCCCCGUUCUGCCUCCAACACAUUGAUGAUGCCCUG